UACAAAAACGUAGUAACAACAAUCAAGAGAAACAGUAAAAACGAAACGAAAUGAAACACAAAAAAAAUUUCAGACUUUCGACCCAGACAACAACCGAUGGGAUCGACAGAGCAACGGAACGACAGAGCGACCCGACCGACCGACGAGACUGAUUCCGAUUGGAACAUGAAUGGAUGGCUGUAUGGGUGUUCCAGUAGAAUAGAUGAAAGUAGAGUAGAUGGUGGGAAUGGAAGCGGGAGAUUCCACUGGCAGGAAGUUGGGCGAUCUAGGGAUAAGAAGGAAUCAUGGUCAAGGGGAAUAUGCGAAACAGUCGACUCCCUCGAAGGGUAUUUGGUAUUCAAUGAGACCCCUUUCCACAGACAACAAUGUCGUCUCUGUAGCCUCCCUUGAGGCUCUCUGCUCAAGAUCAGCAUUGGAUUUUUGAGGGUGCGUUGACCAAGCGACAGACGCAAGUGCUGCAUGAGGUGGCACGUGAUUAUCUGGGCAGGAAUCACGGUUCACAGAGAUACCGGGAGAGAGAGAGAGAGAGUGGAUCUUAUCGAAGGAGCAGGAGCUUUAAUGCACCUCUCUCUCUCUCUCUGUUGCACUACCAAACGAUGACCUUGGGAAAUGUUGACGCUCGUCAGUCGUCAUUCUACGGUGGCUCUAAUCUCGUGUUCUGUUGCUGCGGUGCUGUGGCUGCGACUGUGCGGUGCCUGGUCAUGUGGGUGGCGCGGGUUGACGCGGUGUUUGACGUCGCUGCCAGCUGCCUGCUGCGACGGACAGGUGCUCAAGUCCAUGGGCUCCUAUCUCUGUGCCGUGUGCUGUGCUGUGGACUCUUUUCAGCACAAAUUCAUGAUAAGACGUUAGUCUUGACUUGACUUCCAUUCCAUUUCAUCCAUCAGAAGCCAAAGAAGAGAAACAGAACCACACAGAACCCAGAACCCAGACCCCAGACGGAGACGUACCAGACGCCAGAUAAGCGACAGAGGGAGACGGACUAUGGCGAAAACAAAAGACCUUGAUUUCGUCUGAGAGAGAGUGUGUGUGUGUGUGAGGGUCUCCCUCUUCCUCUCCGUCAGCUGUUUAAUUAGCUGUCGAUUAAUUUACUCGUUUUUUUUAUCGUAUUUCUACUCGAUUUUCUCAUUAACUUUUAAUUUAAACUUUUAUUUCACCUAAAUUCGUAAUAUUUGUUGCCAAAUUUGUAUUAAUUUAUUAACAUUUUUUGAUU